rnacentral:rRNA from 1 species
UACGAAGGGGGCUAGCGUUGCUCGGAAUUACUGGGCGUAAAGCGCACGUAGGCGGUCUUUUAAGUCGGGGGUGAAAUCCUGGAGCUCAACUCCAGAACUGCCUUCGAUACUGGAAGACUCGAGUCCGGGAGAGGUGAGUGGAACUGCGAGUGUAGAGGUGAAAUUCGUAGAUAUUCGCAAGAACACCAGUGGCGAAGGCGGCUCACUGGCCCGGUACUGACGCUGAGGUGCGAAAGCGUGGGGAGCGAACAGA